rnacentral:rRNA from 1 species
GAUGAACGCUGGCGGCGUGCCUAACACAUGCAAGUCGAACGAAGCUCCGGAGCGGAUUUCUUCGGAAUGAAGCGAAGGAUGACUGAGUGGCGGACGGGUGAGUAACGCGUGGGCAACCAACCCCGUGCAGGGGGACAACGGCCGGAAACGGCCGCUAACACCGCAUAAGCGCACGGCUCCGCAUGGGGCAGUGCGAAAAACUCCGGUGGCACGGGACGGACCCGCGUCCGAUUAGCUAGUUGGCGGGGCAACGGCCCACCAAGGCGACGAUCGGUAGCCGGCCUGAGAGGGCGACCGGCCACAUUGGGACUGAGACACGGCCCAAACUCC